rnacentral:rRNA from 1 species
UACAGAGGGGGCAAGCGUUGUUCGGAAUUACUGGGCGUAAAGCGCACGUAGGCGGAUUUGUAAGUCAGGGGUGAAAUCCCGGGGGCUCAACCUCGGAACUGCCUUUGAUACUGCAAAUCUCGAGUCCGGAAGAGGUGAGUGGAAUUCCUAGUGUAGAGGUGAAAUUCGUAGAUAUUAGGAAGAACACCAGUGGCGAAGGCGGCUCACUGGUCCGGUACUGACGCUGAGGUGCGAAAGCGUGGGGAGCAAACAGG